AUGCAGCAAAAGAGGAUGGGUCACUUGGAAGACUUGUGAACGAUAAUAAUGUCAACCCCAAUGCCAAGAUGAAGUACCUAAACAUACAAGGGAAGCCCCAUCUGUGUUUGUUUGCAACACGAGACAUCAGUCAAGGAGAGGAGGUCACCUAUAAUUAUGGUGACUCGGAUUGGCCGUGGAGAUGCAAGCUUCAGAAAUCUGAAGGAAAGUCUUCGGACGGGGAGCACGGUGAAGGUCCAUCUACAUCCGAGCCUUCUCAGAGUACUCAAAAGGUGUCAACAAGUAAGAGGCAAGAAAAGAGAUCUCCAGGUGCAUCAACUAGUCUGCUCAAAAGAUAUGAAAAGAUGAUAACAGUGAGCUGAUUGAGUCUGCUCAGAGGGACGAAACUGACCAGCUUGAGACCUCUGUGGAUGGCCUGAAUCCAACAUUCACACAACUUGGUCUCUUCAACUGGGUUGAAGAGAUGAUAACAGUGAGCUGAUUGAGUCUGCUCAGAGGGACGAAACUGACCAGCUUGAGACCUCUGUGGAUGGCCUGAAUCCAACAUUCACACAACUUGGUCUCCUCAACUGGGUUGAAGAGAUGAUAACAGUGAGCUGAUUGAGUCUGCUCUGAGGGACGAAACUGACCAGCUUGAGACCUCUGUGGAUGGCCUGAAUCCAACAUUAACACAACUUGGUCUCCUCAACAGGGUUGAAGAGUGUCAAGCAUCACCUGGUGUGCACAACAAUAUCCUCCUUGGACAAGUAUGUUCAAUGUUUGGGACCUGUAUCCUCCAAGUGGCGUGGCUAUGAAUGCAGAGAUAAGAUAUUUCGUGGAUUGGUACAAAGUGCGUCUUGGGGUAUUAGGUCGGUAUAUUUGCUGUGUUCAAAUGUACAAACCAUUCUAUAAUGAAAAACUUAUGACAAAUAAUCCUUAAUUCACAGCAUAGGAUGCUAUAUCAACUAUUUCCAAAAUUGUGAAGUGUAAGUAUAUCAUUGAAAUUACUUUAAAGUGUUUUAUUUUUGCCUUAUUGGUACUGACAAGAUCUCUUAUGGUUUAAUGCUAGAGGUUCUUUUCCAAUACACCAGCUGUUACACUUAAAAGUGUAAACAUGGGCAACAAUUAUCUCUAUAAAAGGGGACAUUUUUGCAUGUUCAUGUAUUCCAGAUCUCUGUAUUGCUCUGACAGGAACAACUGUGGUAUUUAAACUUGUACUAUAUAUUCAAAAUGUCUUCCAGUUUGUUCUGGCAUCAAUCCUCAGAAGAGUUACAAAUGAUAACCAACACCCAUCACAGUUUCUGGAGUGCAUGUCCGAUGAGGAAUGCAC